GGACUACUCGGGUUUCUAAUCCUGUUUGCUCCCCACGCUUUCGUGCCUCAGUGUCAGUUACAGUCCAGAAAGCCGCCUUCGCCACUGGUGUUCCUCCUAAUAUCUACGCAUUUCACCGCUACACUAGGAAUUCCGCUUUCCUCUCCUGCACUCAAGUCCCGCAGUUCACGGGGCGAACACCGGUUGAGCCGAUGCCUUAAACCCCGCGCUUACAAAACCACCUACGCACCCUUUACGCCCAAUAAUUCCGGAUAACGCUCGCCCCCUACGUAUUACCGCGGCUGCUGGCAC
rnacentral:rRNA from 1 species